rnacentral:rRNA from 1 species
CAGUCGAACGUGAAAGACCUUCGGGUUGAGUAAAGUGGCGCACGGGUGAGUAACGCGUAGAUAAUCUGCCCCGCUGUCUGGGAUAACCUUUCGAAAGGGAGGCUAAUACCGGAUAACACGAUUUCUUUCAAGGGAGUCGUUGAAAGUUGCGGCGCAACGGGAUGAGUCUGCGUCCCAUUAGGUAGUUGGUGGGGUAAUGGCCUACCAAGCCUACGAUCUAUAGCUGGUUUGAGAGGAUGAUCAGCCACACUGGGACUGAGACACGGCCCAGACUCCUACGGGAGGCAGCAGUAGGGAAUCUUAGACAAUGGGGGCAACCCUGAUCUAGCCAUGCCGCGUGUGUGAUGAAGGCCCUAGGGUCGUAAAGCACUUUCGCCAGAGAUGAUAAUGACAGUAUCUGGUAAAGAAACCCCGGCUAACUCCGUGCCAGCAGCCGCGGUAAU